UUAUACAAUGAAGAGUUUGAUCCUGGCUCAGGAUGAACGCUAGCUACAGGCCUAACACAUGCAAGU
rnacentral:rRNA from 1 species